rnacentral:rRNA from 3 species
GCAGCUACCGAUUGGAUGGUCCGAUGAAGGGCUCGGACCGCGGCCUCUUGACGGUUCGCUGUCGAUUGGCUGUGGGAAGUUCGUUAAACCUUAUCAUUUAGAGGAAGGAGAAGUCGUAACAAGGUUUCC